GACGUAGGAGGCGAGCGUUGUCCGGAUUCAUUGGGCGUAAAGAGCGCGCAGGCGGCUUGGUAAGUCGGAAGUGAAAACCCGAGGCUCAACCUCGGGCGUGCAUCCGAUACUGCUCGGCUAGAGGUAGGUAGGGGAGAUCGGAAUUCCUGGUGUAGCGGUGAAAUGCGCAGAUAUCAGGAGGAACACCGGUGGCGAAGGCGGAUCUCUGGGCCUUACCUGACGCUCAGGCGCGAAAGCUAGGGGAGCGAACCGG
rnacentral:rRNA from 1 species